rnacentral:misc_RNA from 1 species
AAGGAGUCUAACAUGCAUGCGAGUAUUUGGGUGGAAAACCCUUAUGCGUAGCGAAAGCGAAAAGGUGGGAAUCUUUACUGAUGCACCAUCGACCGCGUUUGAUUAUUACUAUUACAACGUGAGUAUGAGCAUGUAUGCUAGGACCCGAAAGAUGGUGAACUAUGCCUGAGUAGGGUGAAGCCAGAGGAAACUCUGGUGGAGGCUCGUAGCGAUUCUGACAUGCAAAUCGAUCGCCGAAUUUGGGUAUAGGGGCGAAAGACUAAUUGAACCAUCUAGUAGCUGGUUCCCUC